UAUUUUCUUCUUCAAAUAGACACCAAAACCUACAUCGGCACCAUCACAGGAGAACUGCCAUCUGAGGAAGAGACCAUUGAAUUGAGUAGAGCAUCAUACACAGACUCUUGUGCUGAAAAGCUCUUCAGCUAAUGCAGAGCAACAUCUCUUCUCUUCAGUAACUGACACAAGAGCGGGACCACAACCAUCCAAUCAAUUCCUGAUGGACAAAAUCACGUCCUGUCCAACUUUUUUUUUUUUGUUUGAAAAGCUUUUUAUUUCACAAUAGGAAAUAAAAGACUAUCGCAACUUGCUUUAUCGAAAUAUGCUGACUUUAAAUCCUACGCACAGAAUUAUUUUUAGAAACAAAAAUGUAACCCUCUGGUGGUCUUUGUUCAUUUUAGACCAAAAGUUUACAUUUAAAAUGUUUUAAUUUUUUUUUACUUUUUCAGAAUGGUAUGGAACAUGGUUAUUUUUGUGGCACUUGCUAUAUGAACGCACACACUUGUGAUCUUGAAAUGAAUAGGAAAAAUCUGAAAAAAGUAGUAGUCUUAGAUAAUGUCUAAAUAUAUACCCAAAUGCAAUACCUAACAAAAGUAAGUAAUUAUGUCUGAAAAUAUAAUUAUAAGCAACAAGGGAAUACACAGCUAUAUAUAGAAAAUCUCUCUCUCUCUCUCUCUCUCUCUCUAUAUAUAUAUAUAUAGACAUAAAUGUUGCAUAAUUUAAAGGUGAAUAUUACCUACACAAGUUGUAAUACUAUUUCAGUUUUUCUACUUUGAAAUUUCACGUUUAAUAGAGUGUUACUUGCCGUUUGAAAAUUGUUUCUAGACCAUUUAUUAAGUGUAGUACAAUGAAAUCCCUUCAAAAUACAAAAUAUUAAAGAAUGAAUAUUCUUGAAACAAAA